UUCUUUAUUUAUUUGAUAAUUAAAUUUGAUACUUAAGGACCGUCAACAACUUGCCACUUUGCUUUGCUGUUUCCUUUCAGAAGAAGAAAAUGUGUUGCAUUACAACAUAAGAUAGGGUUGGUAUAUAAAUUUUUAGAAAUUUUCCUGAUGUCCUUCAUUUGUGCAACUUAAGACAUGCCUUUAUACAUCCAAUGAGAACCACUUUAUUUGUUUCCACAAGCUUACAUAGAAACUAUAAUCCUCUUCCAUUUAUUGGAGGUAAAUGUACAAGGAUUUGGUAGCCCAGGUCAUUGCUGUGUCUUCAGGUUCAAUAGAGCAUAAUAUACAACUGUUGAUUAUAGGGCAGAAGCAACUUCUUUCCAAUCCUUUGUUUUCCCAUAAUUGAUGAAUUUAUCAUAACUACUUGGUUGUUCAUGGACACGUUGUUACUCCUGAAAAUCGACGCUAUGUUCCACCUGCCACCUUGUUGUGUGGUGAUGUAGCCGUGAAGGUAUGACUGCACACAAAUUCAUAUCCUUGUGCCCCGCAAAAUACACAUGAUGCUAUUAUUUAUCUGCUUUAUCUUAUUCUUGCUAUGGCUUACAUUACCUCAGUCUAAAUAGAACAUGCGUGUACACAUUGAUAGUACCUGACUACGUUUGAUUUUCUGUUACAAAGUAGCUCUCAAAUUGUUCAUGAAUUAGCAAUUCAGCUGUUUUGGAUAUUGUUCCAUCUUUGUCAUCCAAAUUUGCUCAUCUACAGUUACUGGCUGGAGUGUGUCAUCAGAUAGAUUCAGGAGUACUGUUUCAUCAAGAGGGCAAGGAGAUUUAUAGAAUGUUCAUCUGGGAACAUGACACGGAAUAUUGCUUAACUUCUAUUAGACCACACAAUGCUCACUUACUGUUUUGGAAAAUUUUCCCUCUCGGUGCAUUUGUCCAAGCUGACAAGACGAAGCGUCCCAUGGCGAGCGGCGACGCAGCCGCUAGUGGCUUGCACCCUCGCAAGCGUCCCCUAGCGAGCGGCGAUGCAACCCAGAGCCAGCGGGAAGCCAUCAACGAGCUGGCACCCCCUCUCCAAGCAAUCAACGAGCCGGCAGCUCCCCCCUCCAGAUAAAUGUGCUUGACAAGCACAAUUUAUUAAAGAUGCAAACAAAAAUGCAAUGGGUUUACAACGGCCAUGCCAUGGUGCAUCGAAAUGUCAACUACAUCCCAAUUCUACAAACUAUAUUUGAUGAGAUAUUAAUGUCUUUUGAACUUGAACAAGAACUCCAUACAGAGAUCCUUACAAACGACAAGAUUGACCUGGAUGUUAACAUUAAAGUGGACGAGCGCUAUAUCUCCAUACGUUGCUUUGGAGUUUUCUUUCCGUUUGAAAAUGAUAACCUCGACCCCUGGUAUACUCUCUUGCUCAGAAACUCCUCCAUUAGAAAAUAUAUGGAUCCUCAAGGCUCAUCCAUCUUUUUAUGAUUUGUGAUCACAACAUUUAAUGCAAGUGACCGGAAAUGCAAGAAGGUAUAGUGCUUCGUACUAAAGGCUUAUUCAAAUUAUAUUUUGCACUAAAUGACCAUGUAAUUACUCCCAAAAUACUAGGUUGUGUCCAAUCCCCUCCUAAGUUGCUAUAUUUUGGGAUGGAUGGAUUCAGUAUGAUUUUGUUGUCAGGGUCUAUUCAAGAGUGUUUUUUUAGAUAAAAGGUAGAUAAAUCUAUACUAUUUCCGUAUCGAAUUUAGCAGUCGUUUAGAAUAGUGACAUGGUUUCCAAAACACAACUUUGACCUCUUAUUUUUAUAAAAUAUUUAGG